rnacentral:lncRNA from 1 species
AGUCUGCAGAUGAAACCAAAGUUAGACAAAUAGAGACUCUUCAUGAAAGAAAGGCUACCUGCUCCACUGCUGAACGUAGAAGCUGAUUUGCCCUAUCCAGCACUCAGCCAUGCAAAGCAGUGCUCCCAACGAGGGCAUCAAAGGAGACAGCCUAGCAAAGCUGCAGGUGGAGGAGGACUCACUGCCACUGUUUUCCACAUGUUCCUCCCUAUGGGGGCCUGACUGGACCUCAGCCUGAGGAUGGAACUGAAUGGAAACUUAAUGGAGAGGUUCCCUUGAGGGCAGUUCUGGGGUGACUCC